rnacentral:ncRNA from 1 species
UCUAGUUUAAUAGAGGUGUUUACAGGUUUGGUUUUAUUAUUUAUAGUAAGCGUUUAUGUCGAUAACUGAUUAAUAAACUUGGCUCUGAUUUUGUUAUAACAUUAACUAAAGGAAACACAUGGUUUCUAUUGAAAUAGGCGAGGUGGAAUAUAGAACUAUGAGAAUAAGUAAAUUAUUAAAGUAGGUUUAUUUUUGUGAUAUUAUUUCUUACAUGAUAUUUUGAAAAGUCCCGCUAACACCAGUGUUUGAGGUUAAGAAAAGAGUGAAAGCUUGAAUUAAUUUAGUUAUAGAGGUCUGGUUAAUCUGGUGCCAGCAUCCGCGGUUAGACUAGAAGGCCCAGUUAUAUUUCUAAGGUAAAAAGGUGGUUAAAUAUUUGAUUGGUAGUAGUUUUAUAAUUUACUAUAAAAAAGUGGAAUUUGAAUAUAGAUAGAUAAAUCAAAAAUGACUAUUAUGUGUUGAAUCCACUAUAGCUUUGAGGGAAACUGGGAUUUGAUACCCCAUUAUUCUUAGCUGUAAAUAAAUAUCAAAUUUACCAGAGCACUAUGAAUAUUAAAAUUUAAAACUCAAAGAGCUUGGCGGUGUUUUAGACUAUUUAGGGGAACCUGUCUCGUAAUCGAUAAUCCACGGUACACCUUACCUUUUAUUGAAAUCAGUUUGUACACCGUUGUCAUCAGGUAACUUUUUAGAAAAACUAGGUUAGCAAUAGAAUUAAUAAUAAAUUUAUAUGUCAAAUCAAGGUGCAGCUAAUGAAAAGGGGAGGAUGGGUUACAAUUAAGAUUUAUAAAAUGGAUCAAGCAAUGCAAUUUGCUCGUAAAGGAGGACUUAAAAGUAAUGCUAUAUAUAAAAAUAGCUUGAAUAAAGCUCUGAAAUGUGCACAAAUCGCCCGUCGCUCUCGUUGAAAAAUGAGAUAAGUCGUAACAUAGUAGGGGUAAUGGAAGUUGUUCCUGAGUUA